rnacentral:rRNA from 1 species
UGGGGAAUAUUGCACAAUGGGCGCAAGCCUGAUGCAGCAAUGCCGCGUGAGUGAAGACGGCCUUAGGGUUGUAAAACUCUUUCGCUAGGGAAGAUAAUGACGGUAGCCGGAGAAGAAGCCCCGGCUAACUCCGUGCCAGCAGCCGCGGUAAUACGGAGGGGGCUAGCGUUGUUCGGAAUUACUGGGCGUAAAGCGCGCGUAGGCGGAUUGUUAAGUCGGGGGUGAAAUCCCGGGGCUCAACCCCGGAACUGCCUUCGAUACUGGCAAUCUAGAGAUCUGGAGAGGCGAGUGGAAUUCCGAGUGUAGAGGUGAAAUUCGUAGAUAUUUGGAGGAACACCAGUGGCGAAGGCGGCUCACUGGCUCGAUACUGACGCUGAGGUGCGAAAGUGUGGGGAGCAAACAGGAUUAGAUACCCUGGUAGUCCACACCGUAAACGAUGAAUGCCAGACGUCGGGGGG